GGGGGGAGGGAAGGUAAUUCAAUAAAACCCCGAGUUUUCAUCUAACUUGACCUCCUUGUAUGGUUGCAUGUUAAAUUACUGAGAUGUCCUUAAUUUUACUUCGGCCACAGACUGAGAAGCACGGCUGUUUCAUUAGCAGUAAAUGACAUGAGAGGCAACACUGCGAGACCAUAAUCAUUCUGAUGACAAACAUCCUGAGGGGCCAGUUUCACAUGCUGGGAUCCUAGUGUUGUGACAGCCGUGGGGACAGCAAAGCUGCAGA
rnacentral:lncRNA from 1 species